rnacentral:rRNA from 1 species
GACGAACGCUGGCGGCGUGCUUAACACAUGCAAGUCGAACGGAAAGGCCCUGCUUUUGUGGGGUGCUCGAGUGGCGAACGGGUGAGUAACACGUGAGUAACCUGCCCUUGACUUUGGGAUAACUUCAGGAAACUGGGGCUAAUACCGGAUAGGAGCUCCUGCUGCAUGGUGGGGGUUGGAAAGUUUCGGCGGUUGGGGAUGGACUCGCGGCUUAUCAGCUUGUUGGUGGGGUAGUGGCUUACCAAGGCUUUGACGGGUAGCCGGUCUGAGAGGGUGUCCGGCCACAUUGGGACUGAGAUACGGCCCAGACUCCUACGGGAGGCAGCAGUGGGGAAUAUUGCACAAUGGGCGGAAGCCUGAUGCAGCAACGCCGCGUGCGGGAUGACGGCCUUCGGGUUGUAAACCGCUUUCGCCUGUGACGAAGCGUGAGUGACGGUAAUGGGUAAAGAAGCACCGGCUAACUACGUG